rnacentral:rRNA from 1 species
AUUGAACGCUGGCGGCAGGCCUAACACAUGCAAGUCGAACGGCAGCACAGAAGAGCUUGCUCUUUGGGUGGCGAGUGGCGGACGGGUGAGUAAUACAUCGGAACGUGCCCUGUAGUGGGGGAUAACUACUCGAAAGAGUGGCUAAUACCGCAUACAACCUGAGGGUAAAAGUGGGGGACCGCAAGGCCUCACGCUAUAGGAGCGGCCGAUGGAAGAUUAGGUAGUUGGUAGGGUAAAGGCCUACCAAGCCGACGAUCUUUAGCGGGUCUGAGAGGGCGAUCCGCCACACUGGGACUGAGACACGGCCCAGACUCCUACGGGAGGCAGCAGUGGGGAAUUUUGGACAAUGGGGGCAACCCUGAUCCAGCAAUGCCGCGUGAGUGAAGAAGGCCUUCGGGUUGUAAAGCUCUUUUGUUUGGGAAGAAAUCCCUAAGGAUAAUACCCUUGGGGGAUGACGGUACCAAAAGAAUAAGCACCGGCUAACUACGUGCCAGCAGCCGCGGUAAUACGUAGGGUGCAAGCGUUAAUCGGAAUUACUGGGCGUAAAGCGUGC